rnacentral:rRNA from 1 species
AUGACUACCUUGGAUACGACCAAAAAUAUUGCAUACAUGCAUAUUUGUCAGGUGAUUUCUAAUGCAAGCUAUUCAAUAAUCUAUUUAUGUUAUCCAGAACAAAAAUACUUCACACACUUUUGUGUUUUGUCUAAUUGCAGGUGUAUGGGACAUUUGUAUAAUCCACAUAUGAAGAUAAGGGAAAAGGAGAAGUUUAGAUUGUGUUCAAAAAGUCCUCUCACGUCAUUUUUGGGCCAAGAGAAGAUAGAGUCCAAGUCUCUCACGUUCUGGAUUCAGAUUCGGACUGCACAGACAUACCUGACUCAAAACGCCAACAACUUUUUCAUACGGACUCCGAAUUGGGUGAUUCUUUUUUUGUUGGAAACUAGAUUUCGUGCUCUUUCCAACCCAAUUGGAAUCACCUUCAAAUUCGUCUGGAGCGUUGAGUUACGGAUGAAACAAUCUGAUGUUACAGCAGAAUCCGAGUCAAACUACAAGCCCAAAGGUGUUGCAUCACCUCCACUUGGGCCCAUGAGCCUUGUACGACCUAGGGUUAGUUUUAGGAUGCCUUGGAACGUCCUCCCACCUCCUUGGCCGCCACCCCUUGCUCCUAUAUAA